AACGAACGCUGGCGGCAGGCUUAACACAUGCAAGUCGAACGGAUCCUUCGGGAUUAGUUGCAGACGGGUGAGUAACGCGUGGGAACGUACCCUUUUCUACGGAAUAACUCAUUUUAACUUGAGCUAAUACCGUAUGUGCCCUACGGGGGACAGAUUUAUCGGCACAGGAUCGGCCCGCGUUGGAUUAGCUUGUUGGUUGGGUAAUGGCCUACCAAGGCGAGGAUCCAUAGCUGGUCUGAGAGGAUGAUCAGCCACACUGGGACUGGGACACGGCGCAGACUGCUACGGGAGGGAGGAGUGGGGAAUAUAGGAGAAUGGGGGGAAGGAUGAAGGAGCCAUGGCGGGUGAGUGAUGAAGGUGUUAGGAUUGUAAAGCACUUUAACCGGUGAAGAUAAUGACGGUAGCCGGAGAAGAAGCACCGGCUAACUUCGUG
rnacentral:rRNA from 1 species